rnacentral:sRNA from 1 species
UAGCCCGGAUCGCAACGGAAAUCCUUUUUUGAUGGCCGAGGCUACCCGAAGCCAGCAAAAAAGAUUGCAGUGAAGAGCCGGUAA